rnacentral:rRNA from 1 species
CCUACGGGUGGCUGCAGUGAGGAAUAUUGGUCAAUGGACGAGAGUCUGAACCAGCCAAGUAGCGUGAAGGAUGACUGCCCUAUGGUUUGUAAACUUCUUUUAUAUGGGAAUAAAAUGUUCCACGUGUGGGAUUUUGUAUGUACCAUAUGAAUAAGGAUCGGCUAACUCCGUGCCAGCAGCCGCGGUAAUACGGAGGAUCCGAGCGUUAUCCGGAUUUAUUGGGUUUAAAGGGAGCGUAGGUGGAUGGUUAAGUCAGUUGUGAAAGUUUGCGGCUCAACCGUAAAAUUGCAGUUGAAACUGGCAGUCUUGAGUACAGUAGAGGUGGGCGGAAUUCGUGGUGUAGCGGUGAAAUGCUUAGAUAUCACGAAGAACUCCGAUUGCGAAGGCAGUUCACUGGACUGCAACUGACACUGAGGCUCGAAAGUGUGGGUAUCAAACAGGAUUAGAUACCCUUGUAGUC